UACGUAGGCAGCGAGCGUUGUUCGGAGUUACUGGGCGUAAAGAGUGCGUAGGCGGUUUUCUAAGUUUGGUGUGAAAUCUCCCGCUUAACUGGGAGGGUGCGCCGAAAACUGGAAGGCUUGAGUAUGGGAGAGGUAAGCGGAAUUCCUGGUGUAGCGGUGAAAUGCGUAGAUAUCAGGAGGAACACCGGUGGCGAAGGCGGUGGUCUGGGCCGGCACUGACGCUGAGGAGCGAAAGCGUGGGGAGCAAACAGG
rnacentral:rRNA from 1 species